UCCAAGUCAGCACACAGUAUGGACAUGAGGGUCCCCACUCAGCUCCUGGGGUUCCUGCUGCUCUGGAUCCAAGGUGCCAGAUGUGACAUCCAGAUGACCCAGUCUCCAUCUUCUCAUUUGGCAUCCAUAGGAGACACUGUCACCAUCUCUUGUCACGCAAAAUCUGGGGUCCCAGCAAGGUUCAGUGGCAGUGGAUCUGGGACAGAUUUCACUCUCACCAUCAACAGUGUGGAGGCUAAGGAUGUUGGAACUUAUUACUGUCAGCAAGGUUAUAACCCUCCCACAGUGAUACAAGGCAUAACAUAA